CUCGUGGCGCUGCUGUCCCUUCUCAGACCCUCGAGUCAUUUGUCACGUGCUCCGGGGAGGCUGCCCUGGUGCUGCGGACGACCCUGGCCCUGGGAGAGAGGAAUAAUCAGGAGUCGAGGGUCCACAGAAAAUCUGGAAUUCCCAGACUGCACCGAUGGCUUCUUCUACUGAACUCCUGUCUCGCUUGUGGUAAGGGCUCGGGAGCCAGAGCAGGGUUCAAAUCCCGCCUAAGUUUCUGCCAUGGGAUAGCUG
rnacentral:lncRNA from 1 species